rnacentral:rRNA from 1 species
UUAGGAGAUUUAACCUGCCCACUGAAGGAUUUUGAAGGGCCGCAGUAUUUUGACUGUGCAAAGGUAGCAUAAUCAUUAGUCUUUUAAUUGAAGGCUGGUAUGAAUGGUUGGAUGAGGUGAAUUCUGUUUUAUAUAUAUUGGAAUUGAAUUUAGAUUUUAAGUAAAAAGACUUAAAUAUUAUUAAGGGACGAGAAGACCCUAUAGAGUUUUAUAAAUUAAAUAAUUGGUUAAGUUAUUAAUAAGUUUUUAAUUAUUAUGGAUUUUAUUUAAUUGGGGUGAUUAGAAGAUAUAAGAAACUCUUCUUUAAAUUAAAUGUUAUAAUUAGAUUAAUGAUCCAUAAAUUAUGAUUGAAAGAUUUAAUUACCUUAGGGAUAACAGCAUAAUUUCUUUUGAGAGUUCAUAUUGAAAAGGAAGAUUGUGACCUCGAUGUUGGAUUAAGAUUAGUUUUAGGUGUAGGUGUUUAUAAACUAGGUCUGUUCGACCUUUAAAAUCUUACAUGAUCUG